CCUACGGGUGGCAGCAGUGAGGAAUAUUGGUCAAUGGGCGCGAGCCUGAACCAGCCAAGUAGCGUGAAGGAUGACUGCCCUACGGGUUGUAAACUUCUUUUAUAAAGGAAUAAAGUGAGGCACGUGUGCCUUUUUGUAUGUACUUUAUGAAUAAGGAUCGGCUAACUCCGUGCCAGCAGCCGCGGUAAUACGGAGGAUGCGAGCGUUAUCCGGAUUUAUUGGGUUUAAAGGGUGCGCAGGCGGGCUGUUAAGCCGGCGGUAAAAAUUCAGGGCUCAACCCUGUCGAGCCGUCGGAACUGGCAGUCUUGAGUGGGCGAGAAGUAUGCGGAAUGCGUGGUGUAGCGGUGAAAUGCAUAGAUAUCACGCAGAACGCCGAUUGCGAAGGCAGCAUACCGGCGCCCAACUGACGCUGAGGCACGAAAGCGUGGGGAUCGAACAGGAUUAGAUACCCUAGUAGUC
rnacentral:rRNA from 1 species